rnacentral:rRNA from 1 species
GAUGAACGCUGGCGGCGUGCCUAAUACAUGCAAGUCGAGCGAACAGACGAGGAGCUUGCUCCUCUGACGUUAGCGGCGGACGGGUGAGUAACACGUGGAUAACCUACCUAUAAGACUGGGAUAACUUCGGGAAACCGGAGCUAAUACCGGAUAAUAUAUUGAACCGCAUGGUUCAAUAGUGAAAGACGGUUUUGCUGUCACUUAUAGAUGGAUCCGCGCCGCAUUAGCUAGUUGGUAAGGUAACGGCUUACCAAGGCAACGAUGCGUAGCCGACCUGAGAGGGUGAUCGGCCACACUGGAACUGAGACACGGUCCAGACUCCUACGGGAGGCAGCAGUAGGGAAUCUUCCGCAAUGGGCGAAAGCCUGACGGAGCAACGCCGCGUGAGUGAUGAAGGUCUUCGGACCGUAAAACUCUGUUAUUAGGGAAGAACAAAUGUGUAAGUAACUAUGCACGUCUUGACGGUACCUAAUCAGAAAGCCACGGCUAACUACGUG